CAUGUCUCCAUGUUUCCUUCACCCACUCUCGUGCCCCACCCCCUAUGCUACUCACCCACCAAUCAACGUCAUCUCCUUCUUCUUUUUAUAUGCCUUACCUCUUCUCCUCCUUCUUAAUUUCUCUGCGCUCUCUCCCUUACUCUAACUCUUCCUCCAGCAGAAACUCACAACCAAGCACUUGAUCAAAGAACGUUAUUAUCACGAACGGAGUCGGGCGAAGAAAAAACUCAAUCCAAAAUUAACCCACGACCCUCUAAGAGACAAAGGAACUCAACGGUCGUGAGCAGCAGUAGCCGAGGAGCGGACACCGGAGACCUGGGCAGCUUACCACUACUGAUCAUUAGCUAUGCCUCCACGACGUGCUGCACCUGUGCAACGACCUCAAGGACCGAGGGCACCUCCGCCGAAUAACGACAUGGCAGAAAUGCAACGACAAUUCGCAUUGUUCCAAGGGAACGUCUGGCAGUUCAUACGAGGAUGCAUGCAACCGCCACCGCCACCGCCACCGCCACCGCCUGCUGCUCCACCGGCAGCAAGGCCGGAAGGAGGUUUACCACCACCACCACCGAUGCCUGCACCUCAGGGGAUGCCAGGGCAAGUUGUAGUGGACUACUUGCCAUUCGUCAAGGAACUCCGAGCCUUGGGCACUCCGGAGUUUGAGGGUUCUCUUAGCCCGGAGGCAGCAGAAGACUGGAUGAUCAAGAUCACCCACCACUUCAACUAUAUCAGGUGCCCGCUGGGAUACCGCACUGAGUUAGCGAGCCAUCAUCUGGCUGGCGCGGUUCGCCACUGGUGGGAGGAAGUUGUACGUGAGGCUCCCGCAGGACACCAAUUCUCGUGGGAAGAGUUCCGGGCGAAGUUCGAGCAGAAGUACUACCGGAGGCAAGAUCAGAGUCACCGUAUUACGGAAUUCCUUCGUCUUGAACAGGGAAACAUGACUGUUCGAGAGUACGAAGCGGAAUUCAACCGGUUGCUGAAGUAUGGAGGCCAUCUAGUGCCAACUGAGGAGUACAAGAUCCAGAAAUUCAUUGCUGGGUUACGUGCUUCUCUCAGGAGAAUGAUCGAGUGUCAUGAAUACCCUACGUUGAGUCGGUAUAUCAACCAACUCGACAAGGUGGAACGCAGCGAGAAGGAGAGGAUGGAAGCAAAGAGACAAGAUCGUGGUCCCUACAGGAGAGUGCCAAUCAACCGUCCCCCGAUGAGAGUUGGACAGACGAGUCAACCCCGCGACAAGGGGAAGGCUCCGGCGUAUCGUCCCACGACCCCGGCUCAGCCAAUACAAUAUAAAAGGCCAUGUGCUAAGUGUGGUCGAGACCAUACUGGACCCUGUGGUAACACCAUGACAUGUUACCGCUGCGGUCAACCAGGGCAUUUUGCUGCGAGAUGCACUGCGAACAUAGCUCCUCAGACCAACAACAAGCCACCGCGUCCAGCACAAGGGAGAUCGGGUGUGGCUCCUAGAGUUUAUGCUCUCACAGCUGAGGAGGAUGUCCAGGAGGAGCCAUACACUGUGGAGGAGCCAUUUGCUGCAGAGCCAUUGACCACUUACGAGGCCACUGAUGAAGAGUAUGUGGAGGAGGCUGAUGUUGCCGCUAUCACAGACCCAGAGGAGCUCUAGAAAGUUCCCUACUCAUCAUCCAAUUCGCUACCCACUACUCGCAGCCCGCAAGCAUAACCCGAGGUCGUGAGCAGCAGUAGCCGAGGAGCGGACACCGGAGACCUGGGCAGCUUACCACUACUGAUCAUGUAUAAUUAUGUAUUUUUAAUACAUCUAUAUUCUGGGAAACAAUUUGUUUUUAUAUCGGUGGUUGACUUUUAAGGUUUGUAAUAAUGUUAUACUACCACUCGAUUAUGU